rnacentral:rRNA from 1 species
CCAAUAGCGUAUAUUAAAGUUGUUGCAGUUAAAAAGCUCGUAGUUGAAUUUCGGGGUUAGCAGGUCGGUCGUGCCAUUGGUAUGAACUGGCCUCGCUGAUCCCUCCCUCUUGACGAACUGUGAUGCCAUUACUUUGGUGUCGCAGGGAAUCAGGACUGUUCCUUUGAAAAAAUUAGAGUGUUUAAAGCAGGCUCACGCUUGAAUACAUUAGCAUGGAAUAAUGAAAUAGGACGUUUGAUCCUAUUUUGUUGGUUUCUAGGAUUGACGUAAUGAUUAAUAGGGAUAGUUGGGGGCAUUAGUAUUCAAUUGUCAGAGGUGAAAUUCUUGGAUUUAUUGAAGACUAACUACUGCGAAAGCAUUUGCCAAGGAUGUUUUCAUUAAUCAAGAACGAAAGUUAGGGGAUCGAAGACGAUCAGAUACCGUCGUAGUCUUAACCAUAAACUAUGCCGACUAGGGAUCGGAUGAUGUUAAUUUUUUAAUGACUCAUUCGGCGCCUUACG